rnacentral:rRNA from 1 species
CUGGGAUUGACAUGCUUGUCGUAUCCUCCCGAAAAGGAGGAGUCGGUUCGGCCGGACAAUGCACAGGUGCUGCAUGGCCGUCGUCAGCUCGUGUCGUGAGAUGUUUGGUUAAGUCCAGCAACAAGCGCAACCCCUGUGAACUGUUGCCAGCGAGUAAAGUCGGGGACUCUGUUCAGACUGCCCAGAUCAACUGGGAGGAAGGUGGGGACGACGUCAGGUCAGUAUGGCCCUUACGCCCAGGGCUGCACACGUACUACAAUGCCCAGCACAAUGAGAACCGAUACCGCGAGGUGGAGGAAAUCUGUAAAACUGGGCCCAGUUCGGAUUGGAGGCUGCAACUCGCCUCCAUGAAGUCGGAAUCGCUAGUAAUGCCGUAUCAGCUACGACGGCGUGAAUACGUUCCC